rnacentral:rRNA from 1 species
UGAGGAACAUGACCUUCGGCGGGGGAUAGCCGGCCCAACGGCCGGGUAAUACCGCGUACGACCUUCCGGGGACAUCCCUGGAUGGUGAAAGCAGCAAUGCGCCGAUGGAGUGCCUCGCGGCCUAUCAGCUAGUUGGUGAGGUAACGGCUCACCAAGGCGACGACGGGUAGCUGGUCUGAGAGGAUGGCCAGCCACAUUGGGACUGAGACACGGCCCAGACCUCCGUACGGGGAGCAG